UGAACGCUGGCGGCGUGCUUAACACAUGCAAGUCGAACGAAGAUGCCGGAGUGCUUGCACUUUGGCAGACUGAGUGGCGGACGGGUGAGUAACGCGUGAGCAACCUGCCCUUCAGAGGGGGAUAGUGUCUGGAAACGGACAGUAAUACCGCAUAAUGUACAUUGAUGGCAUCUUCGAUGUACCAAAGCUUUUGCGCUGAAGGAUGGGCUCGCGUCUGAUUAGAUAGUUGGUGGGGUAAUGGCCUACCAAGUCGACGAUCAGUAGCCGGACUGAGAGGUUGAACGGCCACAUUGGGACUGAGACACGGCCCAGACUCCUACGGGAGGCAGCAGUGGGGAAUAUUGCACAAUGGGCGCAAGCCUGAUGCAGCAACGCCGCGUGGAGGAAGACGGUUUUCGGAUUGUAAACUCCUGUUCUUAGUGAAGAAUAAUGACGGUAGCUAAGGAGCAAGCCACGGCUAACUACGUG
rnacentral:rRNA from 1 species